rnacentral:ncRNA from 1 species
CCACCUCUCCACCGUCCCGCUCUGCUAACCUGCGCGCACCUGAGGAAGGGGAAGUCCGGUGAGAUUCCGGCGCUGUCGCGCAACGGUAAUGCAGAGGUUCUCUGUCAGCCCGAAUGCCUCUCGGGAACGUUGAUCUGAA